CCUACGGGCGGCAGCAGUGAGGAAUAUUGGUCAAUGGGCGAGAGCCUGAACCAGCCAAGUAGCGUGAAGGAUGACUGCCCUAUGGGUUGUAAACUUCUUUUAUAAAGGAAUAAAGUCGGGUAUGCAUACCCGUUUGCAUGUACUUUAUGAAUAAGGAUCGGCUAACUCCGUGCCAGCAGCCGCGGUAAUACGGAGGAUCCGAGCGUUAUCCGGAUUUAUUGGGUUUAAAGGGAGCGUAGAUGGAUGUUUAAGUCAGUUGUGAAAGUUUGCGGCUCAACCGUAAAAUUGCAGUUGAUACUGGAUGUCUUGAGUGCAGUUGAGGCAGGCGGAAUUCGUGGUGUAGCGGUGAAAUGCUUAGAUAUCACGAAGAACUCCGAUUGCGAAGGCAGCCUGCUAAGCUGCAACUGACAUUGAGGCUCGAAAGUGUGGGUAUCAAACAGGAUUAGAUACCCCAGUAGUC
rnacentral:rRNA from 1 species